rnacentral:rRNA from 1 species
UACGAGGGGGACGAGCGUUGUUCGGAAUUAUUGGGCGUAAAGGGUGCGUAGGCGGUUUGGUAAGUCUUGUGUGAAAUCUACAGGCUCAACUUGUAGUCUGCACGAGAAACUGCCGGGCUUGAGUGUGGGAGAGGUGAGUGGAAUUCCCGGCGUAGCGGUGAAAUGCGUAGAUAUCGGGAGGAACACCUGUGGCGAAAGCGGCUCACUGGACCACAACUGACGCUGAGGCGCGAAAGCUAGGGGAGCAAACAGG